rnacentral:rRNA from 1 species
CCUACGGGUGGCAGCAGUCGAGAAUCAUUCACAAUGGGGGAAACCCUGAUGGUGCGACGCCGCGUGGGGGAAUGAAGGUCUUCGGAUUGUAAACCCCUGUCAUGUGGGAGCAAAUUAAAAAGAUAGUACCACAAGAGGAAGAGACGGCUAACUCUGUGCCAGCAGCCGCGGUAAUACAGAGGUCUCAAGCGUUGUUCGUAAUCACUGGGCGUAAAGCGUGCGUAGGCGGUUUCGUAAGUCGUGUGUGAAAGGCGCGGGCUCAACCCGCGCACUGCACAUGAUACUGCGAGACUAGAGUGAUGGAGGGGGAACCGGAAUUCUCGGUGUAGCAGCGAAAUGCGUAGAUAUCGAGAGGAACACUCGUGGCGAAGGCGGGUUCCUGGACAUUAACUGACGCUGAGGCACGAAGGCCAGGGGAGCGAAAGGGAUUAGAUACCCGUGUAGUG